UAAAUCAUACUUCAUAGGAUCAUUUCUUUAGUAUACUUUGUCAGAUCUCUCCUCUCUGUGCAGAUCGACAUCAGCAACAAUGAUGAAACUAGUCCGUCCAUAUCAAAUGU